rnacentral:tRNA from 1 species
GGAGAAGUACUCAAGUUGGUGAAGAGGCGCCCCUGCUAAGGGUGUAGGUCGGGAAACCGGCGCAGGAGUUCAAAUCUCCUCUUCUCCGCCA